CGGCGGACGGGUGAGUAACGCGUGGGUAACCUGCCUCAUACAGGGGGAUAACAGUUAGAAAUGACUGCUAAUACCGCAUAAGACCACGGUACCGCAUGGUACAGUGGUAAAAACUCCGGUGGUAUGAGAUGGACCCGCGUCUGAUUAGGUAGUUAGUGGGGUAACGGCCUACCAAGCCGACGAUCAGUAGCCGACCUGAGAGGGUGACCGGCCACAUUGGGACUGAGACACGGCCCAG
rnacentral:rRNA from 1 species